rnacentral:lncRNA from 1 species
UGUCUACUGAACUGAGCAGGAUAACAUUUUGCUCAUGCCAAAGUGUUUCUUUAUUUUCAACAAAGAUAAAUUCUGCACAAUGUUUUUGGAAAGUGCAAAUUAACAAAGAUAUAAUGGAGAAAAACAAUGGUGGUAUAACAUCUUUAAGUCAGUACUGGUAGUCGAACAUAGAUAUAUUUCCAUGGAUGACAUAAGUGUAAACGAG